UACGUAGGGGGCCAGCGUUGCUCGGAAUUACUGGGCGUAAAGGGUCCGUAGGCGGUGUGGCAAGUCGGGAGUGAAAUCUCUGGGCUUAACUCAGAGGCUGCUUCCGAAACUGCCGUGCUAGAGUGUGAGAGAGGCGAGUGGAAUUCCUGGUGUAGCGGUGAAAUGCGCAGAUAUCAGGAGGAACACCGAUUGCGAAGGCAGCUCGCUGGGACGUAACUGACGCUGAGACGCGAAAGCGUGGGGAGCAAACAGG
rnacentral:rRNA from 1 species